UGUAGAAACCUUAAGUACAAGUAUGAACCUAAAAAAGUUUGCAUUGUAUGGGACCUUUAAAGCUUAAACAUAGCAUUUUAUACUCAGCUGCUUAAGUCAGAUGACUUUCCCUCUAAACAUUUUUCUUUCUCUCUGUCAGGUCCCAGUGUAACUCAAGUGGAAUCGCCGCCUCGCCCCACUGCCAAACAGUUCCUGGGACAUCCACGCAACCUGCAAAACCCUCUAGUGUCCAGUCUCAACCCUGAGGUCCUGACAUCCCGAGAGUCGUCAUGGAGAUAAAACAUGGACCGCAGGGCCAAAGGAAAGUUGUUCACUGUUCUGUCACCGUCACCUCUUAUUUAACCCCUUUCUUUGUAACUCAUUAUUUAAUCCGCCAUGAUAUACAUACUGUAUAUACAUAAGACAAAUAUAUUUACAGAGUUUUGCUACUGUAAGCACUGCAAGGUAUCUGUAUGAAAUGUAAAAUAAUUUAGAAACCUUUUACUUAGAGCAAUUAUUACUAUUACUGUGUAUUUAAAUAUAAUAAACAUGUGCAUUGUGUUUUAGAUAA